rnacentral:rRNA from 1 species
GACGAACGCUGGCGGCGUGCUUAACACAUGCAAGUCGAACGAUGAAGCCGGAGCUUGCUCUGGUGAAUUAGUGGCGAACGGGUGAGUAACACGUGAGUAACCUGCCCUUGACUCUGGGAUAACUGCGGGAAACUGUAGCUAAUACCGGAUACGACCCUCGGAGGCAUCUCCUGGGGGUGGGAAGAAUUUCGGUCAAGGAUGGACUCGCGGCCUAUCAGCUAGUUGGUGAGGUAAAGGCUCACCAGGGCGACGACGGGUAGCCGGCCUGAGAGGGUGACCGGCCACACUGGGACUGAGACACGGCCCAGACUCCUACGGGAGGCAGCAGUGGGGAAUAUUGCACAAUGGGCGCAAGCCUGAUGCAGCAACGCCGCGUGAGGGAUGACGGCCUUCGGGUUGUAAACCUCUUUUAGCAGGGAAGAAGCGAAAGCGACGGUACCUGCAGAAAAAGCACCGGCUAACUACGUGCCAGCCGCCGCGGUAA